rnacentral:sRNA from 1 species
CCCUGCGUUGAUACAGCUGUUAGUCAAAUCUUUGUGUAAUCUAGCAGUUAAGACUCUCGGCCCUGCUUUGAUACAGCUUAUCGUGGAUGGAGCUGAUCCAGAUGUGGCUUGCCAUGCUCUGAAGUUCUGUCACACUGAUCCAGGUCAACCAACCUGCCAUUCAAUGUUACCGCCGUCUGCCGCUAGUUUAAAUGAAUGGCAAUUUCAACAAAGAGUGGAUGCAGCUAGACAGUCAAUCAUUCCAUUGUUACAAAAG